rnacentral:rRNA from 1 species
GACGAACGCUGGCGGCGUGCUUAACACAUGCAAGUCGAACGGUGAAGCGCCUUCCUUUUUGGUGGGUGUGGAUGAGUGGCGAACGGGUGAGUAACACGUGAGUAACCUGCCCCCUUCUUCUGGAUAACCGCAUGAAAGUGUGGCUAAUACGGGAUAUUCUGGGUCUGUCGCAUGAUGGGUCUGGGAAAGAUAUUGUUUCGGUGGGGGAUGGGCUCGCGGCCUAUCAGCUUGUUGGUGGGGUGAUGGCCUACCAAGGCGGUGACGGGUAGCCGGCCUGAGAGGGUGGACGGUCACACUGGGACUGAGGCACGGCCCAGACUCCUACGGGAGGCAGAAGUGGGUAAUAUUGCACAAUGGGCGCAAGCCUGAUGCAGCGACGCCGCGUGAGGGAUGGAGGCCUUCGGGUUGUGAACCUCUUUCGCCAGUGAAGCAGGCCUGCCUCGUUUGUGGGUGGGUUGACGGUAGCUGGAUAAGAAGCGCCGGCUAACUACGUG